rnacentral:sRNA from 1 species
AAAAAAAAUUGUUGACUGAACGAAUUUAGACGGACCAAAACGUAAGAACUCGAACACUAAAUGAGAUUUAAAUUUUCAAGAUAGGCGUAAAUGUAACCGAUGCUUCUGAAACAAAUAAUAAAAGAGUUAGA